rnacentral:rRNA from 1 species
GAUGAACGCUGGCGGCGUGCUUAACACAUGCAAGUCGAACGGAAAGGCUCCUGCUUGCAGGGGUACUCGAGUGGCGAACGGGUGAGUAACACGUGGGUGAUCUGCCCUGCACUUCGGGAUAAGCCUGGGAAACUGGGUCUAAUACCGGAUAGGACCACAUUUUGGAUGGUGUGGUGGAAAGUUUUUCGGUGUGGGAUGAGCUCGCGGCCUAUCAGCUUGUUGGUGGGGUAAUGGCCUACCAAGGCGUCGACGGGUAGCCGGCCUGAGAGGGUGUACGGCCACAUUGGGACUGAGAUACGGGCCAGACUCCUACGGGAGGCAGCAGUGGGGAAUAUUGCACAAUGGGAGCAAGCCUGAUGCAGCGACGCCGCGUGGGGGAUGACGGCCUUCGGGUUGUAAACUCCUUUCGCUAGGGACGAAGCGUUUUUGUGACGGUACCUGGAGAAGAAGCACCGGCUAACUACGUG